rnacentral:rRNA from 1 species
GAUGAACGCUGGCGGCGUGCCUAAUACAUGCAAGUCGAGCGAACGGACGAGAAGCUUGCUUCUCUGAUGUUAGCGGCGGACGGGUGAGUAACACGUGGAUAACCUACCUAUAAGACUGGGAUAACUUCGGGAAACCGGAGCUAAUACCGGAUGAUAUUUUGAACCGCAUGGUUCAAAAGUGAAAGACGGUCUUGCUGUCACUUAUAGAUGGAUCCGCGCUGCAUUAGCUAGUUGGUAAGGUAACGGCUUACCAAGGCAACGAUGCAUAGCCGACCUGAGAGGGUGAUCGGCCACACUGGAACUGAGACACGGUCCCGACUCCUACGGGAGGCAGCAGUAGGGAAUCUUCCGCAAUGGGCGAAAGCCUGACGGAGCAACGCCGCGUGAGUGAUGAAGGUCUUCGGAUCGUAAAACUCUGUUAUUAGGGAAGAACAUAUGUGUAAGUAACUGUGCACAUCUUGACGGUACCUAAUCAGAAAGCCACGGCUAACUACGUG